GCAGGCUCCUGGCACCGUGGGCCCAGUGUCUCCCUGCAACCCACUCCACUCUCCCUCUGGCCAACCGCUCCCUCUUCUGCUCCUGCUCCUGCUCCUGCUCCUGCUCCUGCUCCUGCUCCUGCUCCUGCUCCUGCUCCUGCUCCUGCUCCUGCUCCUGCUCCUGCUCCUGCUCCUGCUCCUGCUCCUGCUCCUGCUCCUGCUCCUGGCCAACCGCUCCUGCUCCUGCUCCUGCUCCUGCUCCUGCUCCUGCUCCUGCUCCUGCUCCUGCUCCUGCUCCUGCUCCUGCUCCUGCUCCUGCUCCUGCUCCUGCUCCUGCUCCUGCUCCUGCUCCUGCUCCCGCUCCCGCUCCCGCUCCCGCUCCCGCUCCCGCUCCCGCUCCCGCUCCCGCUCCCGCUCCCGCUCCCGCUCCUGCUCCUGCUCCUGCUCCUGGCCAACCGCUCCUGCUCCUGCUCCUGCUCCUGCUCCUGCUCCUGCUCCUGCUCCUGCUCCUGCUCCUGGCCAACCGCUCCCGCUCCUGCUCCUGCUCCUGCUCCUGCUCCUGCUCCUGCUCCUGCUCCUGCUCCUGCUCCUGCUCCUGCUCCUGCUCCUGCUCCUGCUCCUGCUCCUGCUCCUGCUCCCGCUCCCGCUCCCGCUCCCGCUCCCGCUCCCGCUCCUGCUCCUGGCCAACCGCUCCUGCUCCUGCUCCUGUUCUUGCUCCUGCUCCUGCUCCUGCUUCACUCCACUCUCCCUCUGGCCAACCGCUCCUGCUCCUGCUCCUGCUCCUGCUCCUGCUCCUGCUCCUGCUCCUGCUCCUGCUCCUGCUCCUGCUCCUGCUCCUGCUCCUGCUCCUGCUCCUGCUCCUGCUCCUGCUCCUGCUCCUGCUCCUGGCCAACCGCUCCUGCUCCUGCUCCUGCUCCUGCUCCUGCUCCUGCUCCUGCUCCUGCUCCUGCUCCUGCUCCUGCUCCUGCUCCUGGCCAACCGCUCCUGCUCCUGCUCCUGCUCCUGCUCCUGCUCCUGCUCCUGCUCCUGCUCCUGCUCCUGCUCCUGCUCCUGGCCAACCGCUCCUGCUCCUGCUCCUGCUCCUGCUCCUGCUCCUGCUCCUGCUCCUGCUCCUGCUCCUGCUCCUGCUCCUGCUCCUGCUCCUGCUCCUGCUCCUGCUCCUGCUUCACUCCGCUCUCCUCCUGCUCCUGCUUCUCUUGGGUGAUGGAGACAUGAGAGGAUCACACAGACAAGAUCACACACAUGCACACAGAUGUACAUGCACACACACACACAUGCACACACACACACACGUACAUGUACACGCACAUGCACACAACAUUUGCUCACACACCCACAGACACACACACACGUGCAUGUACACGUAUAUGCAUACGCACACACACGUACAUGUACACACACUAGCACACAC
rnacentral:lncRNA from 1 species